CAGUGCGGGGGGGCUAUACAUGCAGUCGAGCGAAUGGAUUAAGAGCUUGCUCUUAUGAAGUUAGCGGCGGACGGGUGAGUAACACGUGGGUAACCUGCCCAUAAGACUGGGAUAACUCCGGGAAACCGGGGCUAAUACCGGAUAACAUUUUGAACCGCAUGGUUCGAAAUUGAAAGGCGGCUUCGGCUGUCACUUAUGGAUGGACCCGCGUCGCAUUAGCUAGUUGGUGAGGUAACGGCUCACCAAGGCAACGAUGCGUAGCCGACCUGAGAGGGUGAUCGGCCACACUGGGACUGAGACACGGCCCAGACUCCUACGGGAGGCAGCAGUAGGGAAUCUUCCGCAAUGGACGAAAGUCUGACGGAGCAACGCCGCGUGAGUGAUGAAGGCUUUCGGGUCGUAAAACUCUGUUGUUAGGGAAGAACAAGUGCUAGUUGAAUAAGCUGGCACCUUGACGGUACCUAACCAGAAAGCCACGGCUAACUACGUGCCAGCAGCCGGGGUAAUACGUAGGUGGCAAGCGUUAUCCGGAAUUAUUGGGCGUAAAGCGCGCGCAGGUGGUUUCUUAAGUCUUGAUGUGAAAGCCCACGGCUCAACCGUGGAGGGUCAUUGGAAACUGGGAAGACUUCAGUGCAGAAGA
rnacentral:rRNA from 1 species